rnacentral:rRNA from 1 species
AUGCGACUAGCCAUGGAGACCUCCCCUUUGAUAAAGCUCAUCUCACUCACCCUCCUACUAGCCUCGGCCAUCGCUGGGCCAACUUUGGAGGAACAGGCAGGAGCACUUCUUGCCUGGAAAGCCACACUAGAAACCCAACCAGCCCAACUCCAACUGCAAUCCUGGGAAAACACCUCAUGGCCGUGUAGCUGGCAUGGCAUCAGCUGCAGCAGCAAGCAUCAACAACAACCGGUGAUCACCGGGAUCUCUCUGCGAGGAUUGGGGCUCAGAGGGGAGCUCCACACCCUCAACUUCUCGGCAUUGGCAACCCUGACGAGUAUCCAACUCGCGCAAAAUCAGAUAAGGGGCUCCUUACCACCUUCUUUAGCAUCAUCCUUGCCAAACCUGCGCCAUCUAAUGCUCCAGGCAAAUCAGCUCUCCGGUGAAAUACCAAGCCAUAUAAAACACCUAGAGGGUCUUGUGGCGUUGGAUUUGUCAAACAAUCACUUGUUUGGUCCCAUUCCCAGCGAACUAGGCUACCUAAGGAAGCUGCGUCAAUUAGAUUUUUCCAACAACAACCUCACAGGCCCUAUCCCAAGAAAUUUAGGGAAUUUAACCAAGCUCACUAACUUGUCCCUCGCUGAUAACCAAAUAUCUGGAUAUCUUCCUCCAGAACUAGGUUACCUCGUGAAUUUACGAUGGUUGGUUCUUAGUCAAAACAAACUCAUGGGUUCUAUCCCGGCUACCUUGGGGAGAUUGGUUAAUCUCGCUAUCUUGUACCUAUAUUAUAACCAACUUUCUGGACAUAUCCCUCAAGAACUAGGUUACCUCGUGAACUUAGAAGAGUUAGAUUUUACCGGCAACGACCUCACAGGCCCUAUCCCAAGAAAUUUAGGCAAUUUAACCAAACUCAAUAACUUGUUUCUUGGUGAUAACCAAUUGUCUGGAUAUCUUCCUCCAGAACUAGGUUACCUGGUGAAUUUAGGAGGGCUGCAUCUUUGGCAAAACAAACUUAUGGGUUCUAUCCCCGCUACCUUUGGGAGUUUGCUUAAUCUCACCAGCUUGUACCUAAGAUAUAACCAACUUUCUGGGCACAUUCCUCGAGAACUAGGUUCCCUCGUGAAGUUAUUUGAGUUAGAACUUCAACACAACAAACUCAUGGGUUUCGUUCCUGAUAUAUUUGGAAAUUUGACCAAGCUCAGUUACUUGUACCUGGGCAACAACCAACUUUCCGGACAUAUUCCUCGAGAACUUGGGUACCUAGUGAAUAUGAGAAAGUUAGAUCUUAGGAACAACAAACUCAUUGGUUCUAUCCCUGCUACCUUUGGGAGUUUGGUUAAUCUCACUAGCUUGGUCCUGUGGGACAACCAACUCUUUGGACGUAUUCCUCCAGAAUUAGGUUACCUCAUGAACUUAGAAGAGUUAGGACUUAGCAACAACAAACUCGUGGGUUCCCUCCCUGAUAUGUUUGGAAAUUUGACCAAGCUCGCUCUCUUGCACCUGGAUGGUAAUAAAUUUUCCGGACAUGUUCCUGGAGAAAUUGGUACCUUAAUGGAUCUCCAAUAUCUACAGUUGAAUGGUAACAAUUUCUCCGGUCCCUUGCCACCUGACUUGUGUGCUGGAGGCAAGCUCGAGAGAUUGACUGCAUUUGAUAAUAACCUGAAUGGACCUUUGCCGUCAAGUCUGGUACAUUGCUUAAGCCUAGUUAGAGUUCGUCUUGAAAGGAAUCAAAUAGAAGGAGAUAUCUCUGAGUUGGGAAUUCAUCCCAAUAUGGUGUAUAUGGAUAUGAGCUCGAAUAAACUAUAUGGGCAGUUAUCUAACCAUUGGAGGGAGUGA